rnacentral:rRNA from 1 species
UACGUAGGUGGCGAGCGUUGUCCGGAAUUACUGGGUGUAAAGGGAGCGCAGGCGGGGGUCCAAGUUGGAUGUGAAAUCCCCAGGCUCAACCUGGGGGCUGCAUCCAAAACUGGGUCUCUUGAGUGAAGUAGAGGUAGGCGGAAUUCCUAGUGUAGCGGUGAAAUGCGUAGAUAUUAGGAGGAACACCAGUGGCGAAGGCGGCCUACUGGGCUUUAACUGACGCUGAGGCUCGAAAGCGUGGGGAGCAAACAGG